rnacentral:misc_RNA from 1 species
GGCAAGAAGUGUAUGGGUGAACGAUAGUAUCAAAAGUUUCACACCUUUGCUGGUAAAUCCGUAAUCUCUCCUUUGUGAAAUUAUCAAUUCUGUAUGGCAUAAACCCAGUGUCGUCAUCUGAUAAGAGAAUCAAAUACGUCCCUGAAUUUCCAUGGAGGCUUCCAACAAUCUUUUCAUCUCUAAUGGAAACAUCAGCAUUCUGUACCUCCACCCUUAUCAUAUUUA